GUCAGUAUGGUCUAAUGGUUUGAGUGUUGGACUAUGACUUUGGGGACCAGGGUUCAAUUCCCUGCUUGGCCA